rnacentral:rRNA from 1 species
UACGUAGGGGGCGAGCGUUGUCCGGAUUUACUGGGCGUAAAGAGCGUGUAGGCGGCCAGGUAGGUCGGUUGUGAAAACUGGAGGCUCAACCUUCAGAGGUCGACCGAAACCAUCUGGCUAGAGUCCGGGAGAGGAGAGUGGAAUUCCUGGUGUAGCGGUGAAAUGCGCAGAUAUCAGGAAGAACACCCGUGGCGAAAGCGGCUCUCUGGAACGGUACUGACGCUGAGACGCGAAAGCGUGGGGAGCGAACAGG